rnacentral:lncRNA from 1 species
GUUUUGUUUUGUUUUGUUUUGUUUUUUAAUUGACUCUAACUCUUGACUUGGCUUCCCAGGGAAUUUUAACAUUCAGCCCAACAAAAAAUCCCCACCUGAACUGCGAGUGGCUAAGAAAUUGGGAAUGAUUGCUGGCGGGACAGGAAUCACCCCAAUGCUGCAGCUGAUCCGGGCCAUCUUGAAAGUCCCUGAAGAUCCAACCCAGUGCUUUCUGCUUUUUGCCAACCAGACUGAAAAGGACAUAAUCCUGCGGGAGGACCUAGAGGAGCUGCAGGCCCAAUAUCCUAUCCGCUUUAAGCUCUGGUUCACCCUGGACUACCCUCCAGAAGACUGGACCUACAGCAAGGGCUUUGUUACCGCCGACAUGAUCCAGGAGCACCUGCCUGCCCCAGCAGAGGAUGUGCUGCUGCUGCUUUGUGGGCCACCACCUAUGGUACAGCUGGCCUGCCACCCGAACCUGGAUAAGCUGGGCUAUUCACAGAAGAUGCGAUUCACCUACUGAGCACCGAGAGGCCUCCCUAUCCCGUGUGUGCAGUUGUCCCUAGUCGAUUCUCCAACACCAAGAGGCCGCCUAGGGCCCUUGCUGAGAGCAUCAGCCCUUGGUGUCUCAUCCCGGAAUCUGGGUGCUUGCAGAAGCAACACUCCCCCAGCUAUGGUAGAAGCAGGUCAAGGCUAAGUCACUCCCUUGCAACUUCCCUUAUCGUAAUCUCCUUGUGAUAAAAGGUCCAGAUGAGGCUCAAGGAGCAGUCUCUAGGGCCAGAAAGAAGGGAGCAUUUGUUACAAGGCUACCUAGUUUUUGAGAGCGUCAUGGUCACCUCUGUGACCGUGGUGAAAUGGAUGGACUGGACAGCAUAUUUUGCUCUAUCCUCAGCAUUUCACCCACUACUUAAAUGAGUACAGGCUGAGCAGGCUUAUAUACACAGUCCUACAGAAACCGUAGAAAAGCAAUUAUUUGCCAGAAUUCUAAACCUCAGAGGUUUAGGGAUGUGUGUGUGUGUGUGUGGAGAGAGAGAGAGAGAGAGAGAGAGAGAGAGAGAGAGAGAGAGAGUGAUCAGCCCCUGCCCAGGCUGGAGUGAAAUGGUUACCCGCAACUUAAGAUUACUGCUUGUACAAGGAGUAUCUGGCUGUUAAAUAAAUGGAGCUAAGGCCCUGAUG